GACGAACGCUGGCGGCGUGCUUAACACAUGAAAGUCGAGCGUAAAGGCCCCUUCGGGGGUACUCCAGCGGCGAACGGGAGAGUAACACGUGAGUAAUAUGCCCCUGGCUUUGGGAUAGCCAACGGAAACGGGGAUCAAUUCCGGCUACGAACACUUCUGGCAUGGGAUGGUGGUGGAAAGGUUUUCGGCCAGGGAUGUGCUCGCGGGCUAUCAGCUUGCGGGUGAGGUAAUGGCUCACCAUGGCUUUGGGGGGUAGCCGGCCUGAGAGGGUGACCGGUCACAAUGGGACUGAGACACGGCCCAGAAUCCUACGGGAGGCAGCAGUGGGGAAUAUUGGACAAUGGGCGGAAGCCUGAUCCAGCAACGCCGCGUGAGGGAUGACGGCCUUCGGGUUGUAAACCUCUUUCAGCAGGUACGAAGCGCAAGUGCCGGUACCUGCAUAAAAAGCACCGGCCAACUACGUGCCAGCAGCCGCAGUAA
rnacentral:rRNA from 1 species